UAAGACACAACGGUGAAGACGGUGAAAUGACUGCUGCAGAUCCCGCGAGAAAACUGUACAUCAGGGUUGGUGUGAUCUUUGGACUCCUGUGUCUCCUACAAGCUGCUCUCAACAUUUCACUGCAUCUUGCUCUCUACAGUUCUUACAGUACAACAUUGGACCUAGUGAAGAGGAAUCUGAGUGACUGUGAUAACAAGACACUGGACAUGGAGGCCAG